rnacentral:tRNA from 1 species
UCUGGUGAAACUCAUUGGUAGAGUGCUUGCCUAGCAUGCAUGAGGCUCUAGGUUCAACCCCCAGCACUGAG